rnacentral:tRNA from 1 species
GCGACCGAGAUUUUGGACUAACGUACUGACGGAUAAGUAAAACUCACUGGAUUGUGAUUCCAGGUGUCACCGGUUCGAUCCCGGUAUGUCGCCCCA